rnacentral:rRNA from 1 species
GUCUACAGCCCUACCACUCUCAAUGCACCCUAUCUCAUCUGAUCUCGAAAGUUAAGCAGGGUCGGGCGUGGUUAGUCCUUGGAUGGAAGACAGAUCUUCAGAAGAGACUGCUCAGAGACAAGCAGUUUGGAGACA